rnacentral:rRNA from 1 species
AUGCAGCCCGAGGACACCGCGCUCACGGUCUGGACCGCGGUCGAUGGCAUCUUCCACGACAACCACCUCGCUCGCGCCGUCUACGUUGACGCCGAGUACCAUGCGCUUGUCCAGGGCGACCUGACGGUGAUGCAGUACUGCACCAAACUCAAGUCCUUCACCGAUCAGCUGUGCGAUCUUGGGCAGCCCGUGACGGAGACGCGCCAGAUCUUCCACCUCCUUCGCGGCCUCAACCGCCAGUUUCACGCCGCGAUCCCCCACAUCACCUCGCAGGUGCCCCAAUGCUCAUGUUUCAGCGGGGAGUUAUGCCACGGCUUGAAUACCUUGAGCUCACGCUCAAUGUACUUAGAUUGGAAAGGGCCAACUUUGAAUGCGACUUCUCUAGCUUGGGGAACCUCCCGUUGCUUCAGAAACUUAGUGUUCAACGGGUUUCGCUGUAUGGGGCAGACGAUCCUGAAUACGAGAAGAAGAUGGAGGCUGCGGUGA